CUCUCUCUCUCUAUCUAUAUACAAAGUGUUAAAAUUGUCUUCCAAUGAAUACAACAGGAAAAGGCCUGGCAGUCCGGACUAUACUUCCUCUGGAAAUAUCUUAUAAUAUCACUGAACAGACCUUGACAAUAGCCAGCAGCAAAGCACUUUAUGCAGAGUCGGAUUGAAGCGUUCUGUCAGAAAGUGUACUGCAUCUAACGAAAAUUACACAGGCGGGCUCAACUUUUUAAACCGUUCCUAUCAAAUCAAAUCAAUCAAUAACAGGUAAGGACAACCAACAAGCUUUAGAUCAGUGGUCGGUGGUCAUCAAACUGUGAGAUUUGAGUUUGAAUCAUAGUUAAUGCCAAUUGCACCAAGAAGAAAAAAAAAUGGUGAGGUCAAACAAUCACGCACAUCCUUCGUCCACGUUAGAAAUACAGCAAAAUAGCUCCACUUAGGAGACGACAGUGGAUUCCUUAUGCCUUGGCAUCAUAAAAACCAAUUGCAACUUGCCUGCCUGACAUUGUUUUGCAGGAUUUUGGAAUAAUGUGACCUUUGCUGUAUUAUUACUUAGAAGAACCACAUGAGCAAUGCUAUAAGAAUCACCUUUUUCAACUGCAAAUUGCCACUCUCUCAUUGAUAUGAUGAACCAGUCCUUCCUUGCAGAUUUUGUUGCUUUUACUUCGAAGUACUCUUUCCUAUUUUCCUCCUCCUCUAUAACUAUAUCAUAGGGCAACCCAGUUUCUUUGUCUUCAUUAACCCACUUCACUACUUUCUCACCAAAUUUUUCAGUUAAAUAUUUGAAAGCUACACGCUCCCCCAGUCUUCCAGUAAGCAGUAAUUGUGCGGCAUUAGCAGUCCCAGUGUUCAACUUCUCUCUCCUGAGUUCAGGGACAUCAGCAAUGAGAGUUAAGCCAAUAGGGUCAGAUGCAAAAUCCAAAUUUACAGUCUGAUUGCAAGCAUGAGCAGAAUGUUUGUCCACACUUUCAGAGUCUGGUAAAAUUGAUCCUGCCGUGUCCUCUUCUAUGGUCCAAUCUGUAUCAAUCUCAAUUGGCACCGAGGUAUCUGUUUGAAUGAUAAUGUCCUCUGAAUCAUCCUCCUCAGUCUUGCAUGAACUGCUAGGAUGCGAUACAACGGCCUGAGUUUUAAAACCAUUUGCACGAGCAUAACCAAAACCUGGUGCAGUUUUCCAAUCCACAGGUGGCCAAUUAGAGCUGAUUCCCACUUUCCUCUUGUACUUAGACAUCUUCUGAUCAUUUAUUGCUGUUGAUGCAGUACCUAUCUUAAGUGAUUCAUCAUUCUCUGUCAAAGUACAAAUAGAUGAGAGUGACCAAGCAGAUUCAUCAUCAGGAAGCUUUGGCACCUUUUGGCUGUUUACAAUGAAGAACUCUGUUUGGUCUUCUGUGGAGCCAGAUUCUACCAUUGUUGUGAUCAUAUGAAGGAAAUUUGCCAAGUGUAAAUCUGAAGUACCCUCAAAGAACAAACGAGAAAGCUCCAAAAAGAGCACAUGUGAAUCUGAUUCCGAAGUUGUGUACAAUGUAUUACCCUGCAGAAGACAGCUACAUUCAUAUCGCUUCUUAGAUGCACUGCCACAGCUUUUUAUCACAUUCCUGUAGAAUAACUUCUCAACAACAGUA
rnacentral:misc_RNA from 1 species